rnacentral:rRNA from 1 species
UGGGGAAUAUUGCACAAUGGGCGCAAGCCUGAUGCAGCCAUGCCGCGUGUGUGAAGAAGGCCUCGGUUGUAAAGUACUUUCNGCGAGGAGGAAGGUGGUGAACUUAAUACGUUCAUCAAUUGACGUUACUCGCAGAAGAAGCACCGGCUAACUCCGUGCCAGCAGCCGCGGUAAUACGGAGGGUGCAAGCGUUAAUCGGAAUUACUGGGCGUAAAGCGCACGCAGGCGGUUUGUUAAGUCAGAUGUGAAAUCCCCGGGGCUCAACCUGGGAACUGCAUUUGAAACUGGCAAGCUAGAGUCUCGUAGAGGGGGGUAGAAUUCCAGGUGUAGCGGUGAAAUGCGUAGAGAUCUGGAGGAAUACCGGUGGCGAAGGCGGCCCCCCUGGACGAAGACUGACGCUCAGGUGCG